UACGAAGGGGGGCUAGCGUUGUUCGGAAUUACUGGGCGUAAAGCGCGCGCAGGCGGUUCUUCAAGUCAGUGGUGAAAGCCCGGAGCUCAACUCCGGAACUGCCAUUGAAACUGUGGAACUUGAGGAUGAGAGAGGUGAGUGGAAUUCCCAGUGUAGAGGUGAAAUUCGUAGAUAUUGGGAAGAACACCGGUGGCGAAGGCGGCUCACUGGCUCAUUUCUGACGCUCAGGCGCGACAGCGUGGGGAGCAAACAGG
rnacentral:rRNA from 1 species